AAGAUUUAUAGAUUGAUUCUGGUCUGCUAAACCAUGAAGCCUGUGGUUUGACUCCAUAGAAAUCUUG
rnacentral:tRNA from 1 species